CCCACAGCGACUGCUGUGGAGUCUUCCUCACCGCAGAACAGAUAACUUUUCUCAAGGACAUGGCCGAUACCAUUCUAGAGACAAAGAUGAGAAAUCAGUUCAGAGCAUUGAGUGGAUACCUUAGUAUGGGCAUAAGUCACCAAGGGCUGCCCUAGGGCACUCUGGAGUCUGACUCAGUGCCUUGUACAUUGAAGAAAUCAAUGCUCUGAGAGCCUGUGACCAUCUGCACUUCAAGUACAAUUCUGAUUCUAGAAAUAAUCGCUCCAGGUCUGAACUCUACUGUGUUGGGGACGUUUUUUUGUUAGGGAGGACCGGACAGAGGGAAGGAGAGAAAGAAGAGAUGAGAUUGCCGCAGGAAGUGGCGGCGAGGAGGACUGGACUCCAGGAGAGGGCAGAAUGAAGGCAGUGCCCAUCUUACCUGCCUCCGAGGCCCUGUGGAAAGCAGAUGCAAAUUAGCUCGUUAUGGACAUGUUAGAAGGAUGAAAUGUUUUACAGGCCAAAAAUAAGAAAUGAUACUCAAUUUCUAGAAUAAGCAGAAUAUAGUCCAAACAUUAAACUUCUUAAAGACUAGGAACUGUCUUGAUUUUGACAAAUACACAUUUUAAUGGUUCUGGUUUUUAAAAGGAAGGACCACUAUGACAUUGUAUUU